UCUCUUUUUCAUGCUCAAUUUUAACAUUAUUGUAUACCUUGUGUGUGCUUACAAUGAAUUCUUUUAUGAGGUAAAUCACUGUCCUAAAUUCUUUGGCCAAACAAAGAAUUAAUGAGUAGGAAAUACGGCCAGCCAGAAGGUUUGUCAACAUACUAGUACUUUUGUAAGGGAGAGAGGGGGUGCUUAAAACUGAAAUUCAGAAUCAAAGCUGUUUUAAUGCUGCUUUCAAUUAACUGUUCGCGCAACACUGGGCAUGCUAUGUGUGUUUAUUUCAAUGAUGCUUGUCUUUUCUCCAUGAUGAAGUAAAGAGGUAUAGAGACCCAUUGCCUUUUGAUUCA